UGCCAGCAGCCGCGGUAAUAUGGAGGGUCCAAGCGUUAAUCGGAAUUACUGGGCGAAAAGAGUACGUAGGCGGCUUUUCAAGUCGGAUGUGAAAGCCCUGAGCUUAACUCAGGAACUGCAUUCGAUACUGGAUCGCUAGAGUAUAUUAGAGGAUAGUGGAAUUUCUAGUGUAGAGGUGAAAUUCGUAGAUAUUAGAAAGAAUACCAAUUGCGAAGGCAGCUUUCUGGAUCAUUACUGACACUGAGGAACGAAAGCAUGGGUAGCGAAGAGGAUUAGAUA
rnacentral:rRNA from 1 species